GACGAACGCUGGCGGCGUGCUUAACACAUGCAAGUCGAACGGAAAGGCCCUGCUUUUGUGGGGUGCUCGAGUGGCGAACGGGUGAGUAACACGUGAGUAACCUGCCCUUGACUUUGGGAUAACUUCAGGAAACUGGGGCUAAUACCGGAUAGGAGCUCCUGCUGCAUGGUGGGGGUUGGAAAGUUUCGGCGGUUGGGGAUGGACUCGCGGCUUAUCAGCUUGUUGGUGGGGUAGUGGCUUACCAAGGCUUUGACGGGUAGCCGGCCUGAGAGGGUGACCGGCCACCUUGGGACUGAGAUACGGCCCAGACUCCUACGGGAGGCAGCAGUGGGGAAUAUUGCACAAUGGGCGGAAGCCUAAUGCAGCAACGCCGCGUGCGGGAUGACGGCCUUCGGGUUGUAAACCGCUUUCGCCUGUGACGAAGCGUGAGUGACGGUAAUGGGUAAAGAAGCACCGGCUAACUACGUG
rnacentral:rRNA from 1 species